CCUACGGGAGGCAGCAGUGAGGAAUAUUGGUCAAUGGGCGAGAGCCUGAACCAGCCAAGUCGCGUGAAGGAUGAAGGAUCUAUGGUUUGUAAACUUCUUUUAUAUGGGAAUAAAGUGAAGAACGUGUUCCUUUUUGUAUGUACCAUAUGAAUAAGCAUCCGCUAACUCCGUGCCAGCAGCCGCGGUAAUACGGAGGAUGCGAGCGUUAUCCGGAUUUAUUGGGUUUAAAGGGUGCGUAGGUGGUUAAUUAAGUCAGCGGUGAAAGUUUGUGGCUUAACCAUAAAAUUGCCGUUGAAACUGGUUGACGUGAGCAUAUUUGAGGUAGGCGGAAUGCGUGGUGUAGCGGUGAAAUGCAUAGAUAUCACGCAGAACUCCGAUUGCGAAGGCAGCUUACCAAUCUAUAUCUGACGUUGAGGCACGAAAGCGUGGGGAGCAAACAGGAUUAGAUACCCCUGUAGUC
rnacentral:rRNA from 1 species